AAUACAUUUUGGAAUUGUCAUGGUGCAGCUUUUAGACAGAAGCAGAACAGUCUAGCUCCUGGAAAUGGGAUAUGAAAUAAAAGUGACAAAUGUGACAUCCCUGCAGCAUCCCGCUCUGGGGACGGAGUCAGGUGGGGAGUUUGGCUGGGGCAGUACACCUGUCAAACCAUAACGCAGGUCUCCUAAGGCGAGCUCAGGGAGAAUGGAAACCUCCCAUGGAGGAGAAGGGCAAAAGCUUGCUUGGUACUGACUUUCAGUAUGAACACAGACUGUGAAAGAGGGGCCUCAAGAUCCUUGUGACUUUUUGGGUUUUGCCCCAAACCCCAAA
rnacentral:ncRNA from 1 species